rnacentral:rRNA from 1 species
AUUGAACGCUGGCGGCAGGCUUAACACAUGCAAGUCGAGCGGGGUGAUGGUGCUUGCACUAUCACUUAGCGGCGGACGGGUGAGUAAUGCUAGGAAUCUGCCUAUUAGUGGGGGACAACAUCUCGGAAGGGAUGCUAAUACCGCAUACGUCCUACGGGAGAAAGCAGGGGAUCACUUGUGACCUUGCGCUAAUAGAUGAGCCUAAGUCGGAUUAGCUAGUUGGUGGGGUAAAGGCCUACCAAGGCGACGAUCUGUAGCGGGUCUGAGAGGAUGAUCCGCCACACUGGGACUGAGACACGGCCCAGACUCCUACGGGAGGCAGCAGUGGGGAAUAUUGGACAAUGGGGGGAACCCUGAUCCAGCCAUGCCGCGUGUGUGAAGAAGGCCUUAUGGUUGUAAAGCACUUUAAGCGAGGAGGAGGCUCUUUUGGUUAAUACCCAAGAUGAGUGGACGUUACUCGCAGAGUAAGCACCGGCUAACUCUGUGCCAGCAGCCGCGGUAA